rnacentral:lncRNA from 1 species
GGUCAACUGCCAACCAACCAAGUGCUCUGUCCUGCUCGCACAAAGCUUUCCCUGAAGGAAGGAACCUUCAGUGGCCAUGGAAACCAAAAUGCCACACAAAAGCCAGAGGGUGCUUGGGAGACACCUAGCAGGAUGAAACAACUGGAAACAAUGGCACUCAGUAAGGAAACCUUUUCCAUCAAGAAGUCUUGGAGCAGUUACGUGAAAACUGGUUUUGAUUUGGUGAUGGGAAAAACCUAA